AGAGUUUGAUCCUGGCUCAGAACGAACGCUGGCGGCGCGCCUAAUACAUGCAAGUCGAGCGAGAAGGUGUAGCAAUACACUUGUAAAGCGGCGAACGGGUGAGGAAUACAUGGGUAAUCUACCAUCGAGUGGGGAAUAACCAACCGAAAGGUUGGCUAAUACCGCGUACGCCUCCGAGUCUUCGGGUUCGGAGGGAAAGCUGCACUGUGAGUGUAGCGCUCUUUGAUGAGCUCAUGUCCUAUCAGCUUGUUGGUAGGGUAACGGCCUACCAAGGCUUUGACGGGUAGCUGGUCUGAGAGGACGAUCAGCCACACUGGCACUGCGACACGGGCCAGACUCCUACGGGAGGCAGCAGUAAGGAAUAUUGCGCAAUGGGCGAAAGCCUGACGCAGCGACGCCGCGUGGGGGAUGAAGGUCUUCGGAUUGUAAACCCCUUUCGGGAGGGAAGAUGGAGCGAGCAAUCGUUCGGACGGUACCUCCAGAAGCAGCCACGGCCAACUUCGUGCCAGCAGCCGCGGUAAUACGAAGGUGGCAAGCGUUGUUCGGAUUCACUGGGCGUACAGGGUGUGUAGGCGGUUUGGUAAGCCUUCUGUUAAAGCUUCGGGCCCAACCCGGAAAGCGCAGAGGGUACUGCCAGGCUAGAGGGUGGGAGAGGAGCGCGGAAUUCCCGGUGUAGCGGUGAAAUGCGUAGAGAUCGGGAGGAAGGCCGGUGGCGAAGGCGGCGCUCUGGAACAUACCUGACGCUGAGACACGAAAGCGUGGGGAGCAAACAGGAUUAGAUACCCUGGUAGUCCACGCCCU
rnacentral:rRNA from 1 species